rnacentral:lncRNA from 12 species
GACCCGCACCCGGGCGGAGACAGGGCUGCAGGCUCUCCUGCCUAGGUGGGCGCUAAGGCGCCAAGGGGAACGCCUUCCGAGCGGCAUCCAGCUGGGGCGCCGGCCACGUGGGGCUGGGGCCGGGGCCGGGCCGGGGGCGUGGGGUGGAGGAAGCUGUGUCGGGGAACACGCCUGCCCCUCUGCCCCAGGAUUCGGGGUAGCGGUCGUGCAGUUGGACUGACCCGGGGCCUCCAAGGGCACCCCGUCUGUCCCCCGGGUGCCUCCGCCCCCUCCCACCUGCCCGGCCCGCGGGUUAGCCCCACUGGCCUCCUGCAUCUAUCUCCCUGCUCUCUGGCCUCCACUGCCUGGUGGUCCGGCCACCGGGACACGCCCACAACCGCUUUCCAACCACCGCCUGCCCGGGCGGGGGCGGCCUGCGCCCCUGGGGUUCGAAGCCGGCCUGGGAGCCCCAGGGCUGGGCCCGGCUCUGAGGAGGUGGAUUGAUUGGCCCCUCCUGACAAGUGCUCUGUGACCGCAGGGGCUGGACUGUCCUCCUGAUCCUGCCCUGGGCUCCAGGACCGGGAGGGGAGGAGAAUCCUCCUCCCAGGCAGGGAGCUUUCUUCUCAGGGUGUUGUGUAGCUGAGGCCUGUGUCAUUUCACAUUGUAAUAGGCUCUUCUCCCAUUUCAUACAGGCGAAGCAAUUAUUAUUAUUAUUAUUGUUAUUGUUAUUAUAUAUUUUAUUUGAGAGCGUACACAAGUGGGGGGAGCGGCAGAGAGAGGGAGAAGCAGACUCCCAGCUGAGUGGGGAGCCCCAGGCGGGAGGGCCAUGAUCAGGGGAACCGAGAGGUGACCUAAGCCAAAGGCAGUGGCUCAACAGAGGGAGCCACCCAGGUGCCCCCCAGGAAGUAAUUAUUAUUAACAUUUGUGUAUUAACUUAAACAUCGCUUUUACCUACUUUUUGUUGUUACUUGCAUGUAUGGAUUUUGUCAAUAUAUGUGGAUUUUCCGAUAUAUAAAUUUAAAUAAACUUUUAAAACUCCGCCUUAGUUUUCA